AUACGGAGGGUGCAAGCGUUAUUCGGAAUCACUGGGCGUAAAGGACGCGUAGGCGGGUUGGCAAGUCAGAUGUGAAAUCCUACAGCUUAACUGUAGAACUGCAUUUGAAACUGCUAACCUAGAGUAUGGGAGGGGGAGAUGGAAUUGGUGGUGUAGGGGUAAAAUCCGUAGAUAUCACUAGGAAUACCGAAAGCGAAGGCGAUCUCCUGGAACAUAACUGACGCUAAGGCGUGAAAGCGUGGGGAGCAAACAGGAUUAGAAACCCUAGUAGUCC
rnacentral:rRNA from 1 species